rnacentral:rRNA from 1 species
CUACGGGUCGCACCAGUGGGGAAUAUUGGACAAUGGACCAAAAGUCUGAUCCAGCAAUUCUGUGUGUUUGAUGAAGGCCUUCGGGUUGUAAAAAACUUUAAGUAGGGAAGAAGAAAGUGACGGUACCUACAGAAUAAGCGACGGCUAAAUACGUGCCAGCAGCCGCGGUAAUAUGUAUGUCGCAAGCGUUAUCCGGAAUUAUUGGGCAUAAAGCGCGUCUAGGCGGUUUACUAAGUCUGAUGUGAAAAUGCGGGGCUCAACUCCGUAUUGCGUUGGAAACUGGUAGACUAGAGUAUUGGAGAGGUAGGCGGAACUACAAGUGUAGAGGUGAAAUUCGUAGAUAUUUGUAGGAAUGCCAAUGACGAAGGUAGCUUACUGGACAAAUACUGACGCUGAAGCGCGAAAGCUAGGGGAGCAAACAGGAUUAGAUACCCCCGUAGUC